GGAAGUUUGGAACUGGACAGUCAUAAUCAGUGUUCUCCGCAUCCAAGGCUAAAACUCCAUCUACGAAAUUGCGUAUAACUGACACAUCAAAACAACGUGGAUUGGCAUGAGGACGGACAUAUAGGCCAGCUGAACAGAACUGAAGAGUCCAGAAAAACCCUCACCUCUACCAUCAAUUGAUUUUUGACAAGAAUGCCAAGAUAAUUCAAUUAGGAAAGAACAGUUUUUUCAACAAAUGGCUCUGGGCAAGUGGGUAACUACACUUAACAACGAACUCAGACCCAUAACCUCACACCAUAUACCAAAAUUAAUUUAAAUCAGAUCUAAGCUCUCAA